rnacentral:lncRNA from 1 species
CAAAAGUGCUGCGUGGCCAUUGUUUCUGACAGUUCAUUUAUGCAGAUGAAACAAUCCAUUCAUUUGGUGAAUCCAUGGAAUUAAUGGCUUCCACUUUGUACUUUCUGAAAAAUAUACAGCGUUUCAGGCCUCUGGAUUUACAUUCUACAGAGUUUCUGGUAUAAUGGAAUAGUUUCAGGUCCCUGGAGGGCAGGUAUAUGGCUCUGCAAGAGUGUUGAUGGCUUUCCUAACACACAGGCGUGUGCAUUUCUAAAUGUUCUCACUUGGGGCAGAUUUUUAAACAGCCCUUUGACACAGUGUGGGAGAAAUGCUUCUCAGUGACCAUUUCUGAGGAAAGUUGCUUAGAGACUUGGGCCCUAGUGCUGAAAUGUGACCAAGUCAUCUUCUCCUUCAGGCAAGAGGCUUCUAAACUGAGAGAGCAGCAACAUUUCAGGACUUCUUGGGUGGAAGAAAGUUGGCAGAGAGAACGUCCACAGAAGAAGAAACCAUUCUUUCCACCCACGUGACAUUAAAGGAAACAUAAAGAUGGGACUAAUUCUGCAGCAUUGUCUAGGGUAGGGACACAAUUCUCCCGAGAAGUUGCUUUGACCUUGGAAUUUACAUAUGCCUAGAUAUCUGAAAACUUACAUAAUUAAAUCGUCUCUCUUCAUUGUUCUAAACUUAAUUUUCCUCCAUUCCCAGUCUUGGGGCCUUGAGUCCUUUGGAUAAGUUGCUGAAUUCUCUCCUUUGUAUUGACCGUAUUGACAUGGCCUCAGAGGAAAGUCAAAUUUCAGGCUGAGUACAUAUGUAAGAAUUCACUUCCAACAUCUUGAUGUGAGCCAGAGGUCUGCCUUACAGUAACAAAGACAAAUGCAGAAGGAAAUUCAGGCUGACAAAUACCAGUCCCACCUGUGUUGGUUAAUAAGCAAGACUGCAGCCCAGCCAGCAAUCCUCCGGUAACUGUCAUUUCUCUGUAUCCAAUCAGUUGCCUGGGAAUUAUCCCAAUAAAAAGAAUACAGUGUGUCAUUUAUCAGGCAGCCAAUUAAAGGGCCUCUACAGCAC